rnacentral:rRNA from 1 species
CCUACGGGGGGCAGCAGUGAGGAAUAUUGGUCAAUGGACGAGAGUCUGAACCAGCCAAGUAGCGUGAAGGAUGACUGCCCUACGGGUUGUAAACUGCUUUUAUAUGGGAAUAAAGUGCUCCACGUGUAGGGCUUUGUAUGUACCGUAUGAAUAAGGAUCGGCUAACUCCGUGCCAGCAGCCGCGUUAAUACGGAGGGUCCGGGCGUUAUCCGGAUUUAUUGGGUUUAACGGGAGCGUAGGCUGAAUGUUAAGCCAGUUGUGAAAGUUGCGGGCUCAACCGGAGCAUUGCAGUUGGAACUGGCGGUCUUGAGUCCACGAGAAGCGGGCGGAAUUCGUGGUGUAGCGGUGAAAUGCUUAGAUAUGACGAAGAACCCCGAUUGCGAAGGCAGCUCGCUGCAGCGGAACUGACGCUGAGGCUCGAAAGUGCGGGUAUCGAACAGGAUUAGAUACCCCAGUAGUC